AUUGAACGCUGGCGGCAAGCCUAACACAUGCAAGUCGAACGAGUGGCGGACGGGUGAGUAAUGUCUGGGAAACUGACUGCUGGAGGGGGAUAACUACUGGAAACGGUAGCUAAUACCGCAUACCAUCGGAUGUGCCAAGAUGGGAUUAGCUAGUAGGUGGGGUAAAGGCUCCCCGAGGCGACGAUCCCUAGCUGGUCUGAGAGGAUGACCAGACACACUGGAACUGAGACACGGUCCAGACUCCUAAGGGAGGCAGCAGUGGGGAAUAUUGCACAAUGGGCGCAAGCCUGAUGCAGCCAUGCGGCGUGUAUGAAGAAGGCCUUCGGGUUGUAAAGUACUUUCAGCGGGGAGGCGUUACCCGCAGAAGAAGCACCGGCUAACGCCGUGCCAGCAGCCGCGGUAAUUC
rnacentral:rRNA from 1 species